rnacentral:rRNA from 1 species
GGGGAAUAUUGGACAAUGGGCGCAAGCCUGAUCCAGCCAUGCCGCGUGAGUGAUGAAGGCCCUAGGGUUGUAAAGCUCUUUUGUGCGGGAAGAUAAUGACGGUACCGCAAGAAUAAGCCCCGGCUAACUUCGUGCCAGCAGCCGCGGUAAUACGAAGGGGGCUAGCGUUGCUCGGAAUCACUGGGCGUAAAGGGUGCGUAGGCGGGUCUUUAAGUCAGGGGUGAAAUCUUGGAGCUCAACUCCAGAACUGCCUUUGAUACUGAGGAUCUUGAGUUCGGGAGAGGUGAGUGGAACUGCGAGUGUAGAGGUGAAAUUCGUAGAUAUUCGCAAGAACACCAGUGGCGAAGGCGGCUCACUGGCCCGAUACUGACGCUGAGGCACGAAAGCGUGGGGAGCAAACA